GGAUUAGAUACCCUGGUAGUCCACGCCCUAAACGAUGUCAACUAGCUGUUGGGGGAUUAUAUUCCUUUAGUAGCGAAGCUAACGCGCUAAGUUGACCGCCUGGGGAGUACGGCCGCAAGGUUAAAACUCAAAUGAAUUGACGGGGGCCCGCACAAGCGGUGGAGCAUGUGGUUUAAUUCGAUGCAACGCGAAGAACCUUACCUACUCUUGACAUCCUAGGGAUCUUUCAGAGAUGAGAGAGUGCCUUCGGGAACCUAGAGACAGGUGCUGCAUGGCUGUCGUCAGCUCGUGCUG
rnacentral:rRNA from 1 species